rnacentral:lncRNA from 1 species
UCCGAGAAAGAAAAUGGUGUGUGGUGUUGAGAAAAUUUGUUACAAGAAAAAUGAAAGAGUAAAAGAUUACUAAGAUUUUCUAAUAAUGUGAGUUAGUUGAGAAAUAAUAAUCUAGUAAUUGGGCAAUUAAUGUCACUUUUACCCCAAAUUCUUGUUUUUUUGCUGCCUGAUUGAGGGAUUGACUAAUGGAAACAAAGAUAAUUAAUCAAGUAGAUUUUUUUGUCCCAAUAGGGCUCACAAAGAACAAUAGAAACCAAACUUUAAAUGUCAGAUCACCAAAUAAAAACAGUCAAUAGUUUUUCGCUACUAACUAAUGUGCUCUUUAACUGACACGACGAGUAAGGCUUCAAUUCCCUGAGAUGUUAAGGAAACCGACGUCUUUAAUGCCAAGUGUGUCACUACUCCGGGUAACAACCCAAAACUUUGGAGAACAUGAACGCACUCAACCGGAUGGAAAUGCGUACCUCAAAUCGCCCAGCAACGAUUGAUGAUCCACAUCCAUCCACUUCAAAUCGAAUGCGACAUGGCAGAAGAGAACAAAUUAACUCAAAACUAAUAUGUGCCGCCGCAGUUAUGCAAUUGGUCGGCGAUACGGGGGGUGAGCGAGCGGUUCAAUGUGCGAUAGCGAAUAUGAAACGUUUACGAACUGUGACAUCAUCAUCCAUCAGACGGCAAUUGACGUCAGCGAGGACGUGAUCACUUCCCAAACUAUACCGGAAGCCAUACUACUUUAUAGCCCCUGCGAUCGUGAAACUUUGAUGACGUGUGUUCAACUUACUUACUCCUCUUAUUUAAAAAGUUAUAUAUUUUUGCUUCAA